AUGCGUUUGAAUUACGUUCCCUCACUCAGAGCCGGCUCACAGACAGACCGGCAGACAGGCCUUUUGUCUCUCACCUCCUUGGGACUAUUAGAAAGCAUUCUGCCUUUUUCAAAGCCUAAACUAGGCUUUUUUUCUCCCCCAGACAUCCUUUGCCUCAAUUGCCCAAAGGCAGGUUAUGUCAAAGGAAAUCUGACACCAGCUUUUCUAGUCAUCAGUUUGCUCUCUCAUCAAAAGGUGAGGGGGGAAAGCAGCACUAGCAUGGUUACCCUUGGAAACUGUCUGCUGUUACAGCAUCACAAGACUUUCCUGAUUGUCAAGCCCUGCUGUGGCAUGGUGGAUUCUGAUGAACUCUGCCCUCUCUGAGCAGUGUGGCAUGUUUUUCUCCCAAUGUGGUAUGUAGGAAACAAAACUAGAUUUGGAGUCCAAAGCCCUGAGUUUGAGUUCCAGCUCUGCAAUGUACUAGCUACCUGACCCUGGACAAGUCAUUUAACUAUCUGGAGCCUCAAUUUUCUCCCUCAGCUGUAAAUAGGGAUGAGAAUAGAAUAGUUAAAACUGGAAGCUACCAGAAGGGCCAGAGUUAUGGCCCUUUCCACACCCUUCUCCCCCCACCAUCUUCAGUACUAGCCUUGAGCUGGGAUCUCUGGCUCUCAAUGCUCCUACUGAACUGAGGGUGGGCUUUGUGCUACUUGCCCCAAGGACAAACAUCCCUAGUUAUAGCUCUAUCUUGAGCAGAAAAUAAUUUGUAAACCUGAAAGCCCCAUGUAAUUGUGAAUUAUUCUUAUUAUUUGAUCCACCCCUCCUGCUAAUUUUAAGAAGAAAAUAAGUAUUUUUUUCUCCUCGCACAAUAUCCCUCCUGGGGCUACUGAAUUAAAAGGAGCAGUAGGAACCGUUCCAAAGGCUUGGUAAGAGGAAUUAAAGAGGCAGAAAUGCCCUUACUUAUUGAACCUGAAAAGGAGAGUGCUUAACUGUUUAUACAUAUCUCUUCAAAUGCUUUUAUCAAAACCUUCAGAGACUGGUUUCAGGGGAGCUGGGGGUAGAGGUGGUAGAGGAUUUAUUCUGUAUGACCAGGUAAUUUUGUCCACAAGCUGCACCUGGAAAGAAUUUAGCCUUGCAAUAUUUCCUGCCCUGCCCCCAGUUUUCCCUCUCUCCUCUCCCCCUCCCCCUCCCCUCACUACAAGUAAUAAACUAUUUGCUACAAGAGAUGCUGAGAAAGUA
rnacentral:lncRNA from 1 species